GCGGAAGUGGCGGAAUUGGCAGACGCGCUGGACUUAGGAUCCAGUCCCUUCGGGGGUGCGAGUUCGAGUCUCGCCUUUCGCA
rnacentral:tRNA from 1 species